rnacentral:tRNA from 1 species
ACUUGCCUGGCUCAGUCAGUAGAGCAUGUGACUCUUGCUCUCAAGGUCAUGAGUUUGAGCCCCAUGGUGGGUG